rnacentral:lncRNA from 10 species
CGCGCUGCACCCAACGGCCGCGUGGUGGGGAAGAUGGGAGGGGAUGGGGGUAGGCCGCCGAGCAUCUCCUGCCCCAGAAUCUGGCACGCUGACGGGGACCUAGGGACAGACGACCGCACAACACGCCACGUUGCAGGCGCUGCCAGGCCGGGUGCCUCACCUAGCUCCUUCAUGUAUUCAUCAAAGCCUUUGCUGUCCACCAGGCGCCAUCUUCCUUCCAGCUGCUGAACUGUGGCCAUGGUGGGUGCGGGCGGGCUGGCGUGCAGAGAGGGGUCUGCGUCGGCGUGGCAGCGUGCUGUGAGGCACCCGGCGCCGGCGGCUGCUUUAUAACGGCGGCCCGCGCUGGGCGGCGCUAUGCGGCCAAUGGGAGGCGGGCCUCGCCCGGUCCCCGCCCCGCCCGCCGGGCGCCCCCUGGGCCUUCUCGGGGUCGGGAGGUGCUAACCAGCUCCUCUUGCCAGGGUACGCGACGGCCUCUCGGGCGCCUCCUGCAAGCAGGGACUCGCCCGGCGCGCCCCACGCCUCAUGGACGCCGGCGCCUGCACGUUUCGGCGCCUCUGCAGGCCCAGGAAGCCAGAGGGGUCACCUGGAGGCCUGGCCCCGCCUCUCCUGCACCCCUCCGUUUGACAACAUAUCCACCGCCGUUUUUCCUUUCAAAAUACCCGGACCAAUCGAUUAGCCCUCGCCGGACUCGGACUGCAGGAAGUGAUUGAUCGGCUGUUUGGUUUAUUGAUUCAUUAACUACGGUGCCUCCCUGACCUUCUGCUCCUCGCCAGCGCACAAGCUCACAAUCCACACCCUCCUAAGAGAACCUGCUCUCGCCAUCCGCAGGUCUCCCUGGCCCAAUAGUGGGGAUAUACCUGAGUUGAGCUAGAGGAUUUUAUCCCUGUUGGGAUGGGGGACGUCUCGGGAAGUGUGGUUUCUAAACUAAAAGACUGCAGGAAGUGUCAACUUUAGUGACUGUCAUUGCCAUUCAAGAAUGUUUGAUUAGUUUAUAUUCCCUUCGUAGUGCACCCUUCACCGUUUCUUCUCAGACACCAGCGGGUUUCUUCUCAGACACCAGCGGGUUCCCUCUUUCUCUUGAACUAUAAUAAUACCCUACACAUGUGCGUAGAACAUGAUACGUUUCAAAGUGUACUCUUCACAAUUUAUUACUUGGUGCUCCCGGGUGCCUGUUGGAAGUCAGAUGGACUGAGGUCCCCUUCAGUUUAUGAAGUACUCCUGCAGUAGAAGUUCAUGGC